GAUGAACGCUGGCGGCGUGCCUAAUACAUGCAAGUCGAACGCUUUGUGGUUCAACUGAUUUGAAGAGCUUGCUCAGAUAUGACGAUGAACAUUGCAAAGAGUGGCGAACGGGUGAGUAACACGUGGGAAACCUACCUCUUAGCAGGGGAUAACAUCUGGAAACAGAUGCUAAUACCGUAUAACAAUGACAACCGCAUGGUUGUUAUUUAAAAGAUGGUUCUGCUAUCACUAAGAGAUGGUCCCGCGGUGCAUUAGCUAGUUGGUAAGGUAAUGGCUUACCAAGGCGAUGAUGCAUAGCCGAGUUGAGAGACUGAUCGGCCACAAUGGGACUGAGACACGGCCCAUACUCCUACGGGAGGCAGCAGUAGGGAAUCUUCCACAAUGGGCGAAAGCCUGAUGGAGCAACGCCGCGUGUGUGAUGAAGGGUUUCGGCUCGUAAAACACUGUUGUAAGAGAAGAAUGACAUUGAGAGUAACUGUUCAAUGUGUGACGGUAUCUUACCAGAAAGGAACGGCUAAAUACGUGCCAGCAGCCGCGGUAAUACGUAUGUUCCAAGCGUUAUCCGGAUUUAUUGGGCGUAAAGCGAGCGCAGACGGUUAUUUAAGUCUGAAGUGAAAGCCCUCAGCUCAACUGAGGAAUUGCUUUGGAAACUGGAUGACUUGAGUGCAGUAGAGGAAAGUGGAACUUCCAUGUGUAGCGGUGAAAUGCGUAGAUAUAUGGAAGAACACCAGUGGCGAAGGCGGCUUUCUGGACUGUAACUGACGUUGAGGCUCGAAAGUGUGGGUAGCAAACAGGAUUAGAUACCCUGGUAGUCCACACCGUAAACGAUGAGUGCUAGGUGUUUGAGGGUUUCCGCCCUUAAGUGCCGCAGCUAACGCAUUAAGCACUCCGCCUGGGGAGUACGACCGCAAGGUUGAAACUCAAAGGAAUUGACGGGGACCCGCACAAGCGGUGGAGCAUGUGGUUUAAUUCGAAGCAACGCGAAGAACCUUACCAGGUCUUGACAUCCCUUGACAACUCCAGAGAUGGAGCGUUCCCUUCGGGGACAAGGUGACAGGUGGUGCAUGGUUGUCGUCAGCUCGUGUCGUGAGAUGUUGGGUUAAGUCCCGCAACGAGCGCAACCCUUAUUACUAGUUGCCAGCAUUCAGUUGGGCACUCUAGUGAGACUGCCGGUGACAAACCGGAGGAAGGUGGGGAUGACGUCAAAUCAUCAUGCCCCUUAUGACCUGGGCUACACACGUGCUACAAUGGCGUAUACAACGAGUUGCCAACCCGCGAGGGUGAGCUAAUCUCUUAAAGUACGUCUCAGUUCGGAUUGUAGGCUGCAACUCGCCUACAUGAAGUCGGAAUCGCUAGUAAUCGCGGAUCAGCACGCCGCGGUGAAUACGUUCCCGGGUCUUGUACACACCGCCCGUCACACCAUGAGAGUUUGUAACACCCAAAGCCGGUGGGGUAACCUUCGGGAGCCAGCCGUCUAAGGUGGGACAGAUGAUUAGGGUG
rnacentral:rRNA from 1 species